rnacentral:rRNA from 1 species
UACGUAGGGUGCAAGCGUUAUCCGGAAUUAUUGGGCGUAAAGAGCUCGUAGGCGGUUUGUCGCGUCUGCUGUGAAAACUGGGGGCUCAACCCCCAGCCUGCAGUGGGUACGGGCAGACUAGAGUGCGGUAGGGGAGAUUGGAAUUCCUGGUGUAGCGGUGAAAUGCGCAGAUAUCAGGAGGAACACCGGUGGCGAAGGCGGGUCUCUGGGCCAAAACUGACGCUGAGGAGCGAAAGCGUGGGGAGCGAACAGG